AUUGAACGCUGGCGGCAUGCCUUACACAUGCAAGUCGAACGGUAACAGGUCUUCGGAUGCUGACGAGUGGCGAACGGGUGAGUAAUACAUCGGAACGUGCCUAGUAGUGGGGGAUAACUACUCGAAAGAGUGGCUAAUACCGCAUGAGAUCUACGGAUGAAAGCAGGGGAUCGCAAGACCUUGUGCUACUAGAGCGGCCGAUGGCAGAUUAGGUAGUUGGUGGGAUAAAAGCUUACUAAGCCAACGAUCUGUAGCUGGUCUGAGAGGACGAUCAGCCACACUGGGACUGAGACACGGCCCAGACUCCUACGGGAGGCAGCAGUGGGGAAUUUUGGACAAUGGGCGAAAGCCUGAUCCAGCAAUGCCGCGUGCAGGAUGAAGGCCUUCGGGUUGUAAACUGCUUUUGUACGGAACGAAAAGCCCUGGGUUAAUACCCUGGGGUCAUGACGGUACCGUAAGAAUAAGCACCGGCUAACUACGUGCCAGCCGCCGCGGUAAUAC
rnacentral:rRNA from 1 species